GAACCUUACCAGCCCUUGACAUCCCGGUCGCGGAUCGCAGAGAUGCUUUCCUUCAGGUUCGGCUGGACCGGUGACAGGUGCUGCAUGGCUGUCGUCAGCUCGUGUCGUGAGAUGUUGGGUUAAGUCCCGCAACGAGCGCAACCCCCGCCUUCAGUUGCCAACGGUUCGGCCGUGCACUCUGGAGGAACUGCCUGUGACAAGCAGGAGGAAGGUGGGGAUGACGUCAAGUCCUCAUGGCCCUUAUGGGCUGGGCUACACACGUGCUACAAUGGCGGUGACAGAGGGAUGCAAUACCGCGAGGUGGAGCAAAUCCCUAAAAGCCGUCUCAGUUCGGAUUGUUCUCUGCAACUCGAGAGCAUGAAGUUGGAAUCGCUAGUAAUCGCGGAUCAGCUCGCCGCGGUGAAUACGUUCCCGGGCUUU
rnacentral:rRNA from 1 species